rnacentral:rRNA from 1 species
AGUGAACGCUGGCGGUAGGCCUAACACAUGCAAGUCGAACGGCAGCACAGUAAGAGCUUGCUCUUACGGGUGGCGAGUGGCGGACGGGUGAGGAAUACAUCGGAAUCUACUUUUUCGUGGGGGAUAACGUAGGGAAACUUACGCUAAUACCGCAUACGACCUACGGGUGAAAGCAGGGGAUCUUCGGACCUUGCGCGAUUGAAUGAGCCGAUGUCGGAUUAGCUAGUUGGCGGGGUAAAGGCCCACCAAGGCGACGAUCCGUAGCUGGUCUGAGAGGAUGAUCAGCCACACUGGAACUGGGACACGGUCCAGACUCCUACGGGGGGCAGAAGGGGGGAAUAUUGGACAAGGGGCGCAAGCCUGAUCCAGCCAUACCGCGUGGGUGAAGAAGGCCUUCGGGUUGAAAAGCCCUUUUGUGGGGAAAAAAAAGCAGCAGGUUAAUACCCCGCUGUUCCGACGGUACCCAAAGAAUAAGCCCCGGCUAACUUCG